GUCACGUCUCUUGUCCCUGGUCACUGUGGGCGGCGAGAGACUUCCAGGUGGACUCCAAGGCCUGAUUUUCCCUCUCCAUCUUCACAGAGUCCGCGACUCCUUCCAGCUUGAUUGCUGAACUGCAAGUGGCCAUGUUACAAAAGGAAGAACUAAGUGUUUGUGAAAGCUGAUGCCCCAGAAGGCCCAGGAUAUGAAGUCAGAGGUGUGGGCUGGACGUGGUGUGUGUAUUAAAGCAGCCCAGGAUCCUGGUUCUUCUCUUGGAGUCUCAUCCCCCUCAUCAGGAAUGCAAGAGAUUUGCAUUAGUUCCCUGAUUGACCGGGGAUGGAACCCGUGCCCCGCGAAGUGGAAGCGCGGAGUCCUAACCACUGGACCGCCAGAGAAUUCCCAGAAGGUUUCUAAGAAACCAAAUUCUCACUCUUUGCGAUUGCAUAAAUGAGGACACAGCUAGGGCGGGCAUGAGUCUAGACAAGCCCACGCAGGGUUGAUUGCCCUGUUCUGUGGUCAAUGACCCCACACUUCUCCCAGUGAUUGAAGAGGGACCCCUAGAGUCAUGCAAAUGGAACAUAUCCAUCACUCCCCCAAAACUUCCUCGUGUCCCUUUGUCAUCCUUUCUCUACAACCAUUGUCACUUUAGAUUGGUUCUGUCACCGUUGAUUGGUUUGCAAUUUCUGGAGUCGUGUGUAAAUGGAAUCACACAGUGUGUACUCUUUGUCUUCUUUCAGCAUAAUUAUUUUGAGAUUCACAUUGUAUAAGUAAUUCCUUUUUAUUGUCAGAGUGGAUAUAUUUGUUUUAUAUCUAUAAUUUGUUUAUCCAGUUACCUGUUGAUGGACAUUUGGGGUGUUUCCAGUUAGGGGCUAUUACAAAUAAAAGUAUGUAAAAGGC